CCCCAAUCUUCUCUCAGCUUCCCUUGGUCCGACCUCAUCCCUUCCAGUAUCACAGAAAGCGCAGGCUGGAGGACGCCUAUGAGCCUGUGGGUCUGACCUCUGGUUUUCCUGUGGCCCAGAGAGGGGUCAAGCUUGCUCAAGGUCACAUUGAGAGAGUUGGCUGAGACUCGAACUCAGAGCCUCUGACUCACAUGGCCCCUCACAGGCUCUGGAGCCCAGCCUUGUCUCCCCAGAUGCACACCACGUGCCGAGGGUGGGGCAGCUGCCUGGAUUUUCGGCCUUCCUCCCUCCCAGCGCCCAGCUUGGGCUCUGCACACGGCAAAUGCCAAAUUAAUUCCGGUUUCGUCACGGGAGGUCUUUGCGAUAACCUUCAAGCCAAAGGAUCACCCCUUGCCACCUUCCCAGUGAGGUAGGAGGGGGCGUCAGCGGCCUCACGGUGUGACCUUGGGCAAGUCUCUUACCUCCACGGGCCUGGGACCUCAGGUGACGAAAGCUGAUAAAGAUCCUUAACGAGAACACCUAGAUCUGAGUCAAGGCUUUUUUCUACAACUCUGCUGCCACCUCCAAGGAUAAAAAUCUUUGCACUGCCCUUUGAGCGUUAUUUGAAAUUCAAAAUAGGUUAAAUAACAAGAUAAAAACAAAGAAAGCAAUAAGACAAAGCUUGCUUUGUUUUCUGACUACAUUCUCUUCCCUUCCCACCAACUGAUCCUCCCCCCCAAACCUAACUCCUCCCCCUGGGGGGGGGCUCUGAAUCAUCCUUUCCCUGGCACCCCGGCACUGAGAAGUCCUCGUGGAAUGUUUGCUGAAGUUAUGAAGCGCUCUGCAGUUGGCCAGCCCUCCCAUGACGUCAUCUGAGCCUCCAACGGCCCCGCAAGGCGGGAGGGUUAGCCCGUUCACAGGGAGCGCCAAGGUUCCGAGGGAAGGGACUUGGCCAAGGUCACGUGGCAGAUUAGCCCUGAGCUAAUAUUCGCCACCGAUCCUCCUCUUUUUGCUGAGGAAGACUGGCCCUGAGCUAACAUCCGUGCCCAUCUUCCUCUACCUUAUGUGUGGGACGCCUGCCAAAGCAGGGCUUGCCAAGCGGUGCCACGUCCGCACCCGGGAUCUGAACUGGCAAACCCCCGGCCAUGGAAGCGGAAUGUGCACACUUAACCACUGCGCCACCAGGCCGGCCCCUCCUUGUACUUUUCUGAGUUGUUUCAUGGACUUAACUUCACAUCGUGCAGCACUCAUUAAGCACCUACUCGGCACCUGGCAACAGGGCAUGGCCAUGGCCUUCGGACUCAGGAGUUGGCCCCUCAGCCCACAGAAGGGGGACACCAUGGCUUGCAGUUUUCUCUGCAGAGUAACCUUAUGGACUCAUAGACUCCGACAAUAUCCUCAUGGCUAAGUAGAGGAUCUCACAGAAAUGGUGGUUCCAACAAGAAGGACCCAAAACUAAAACUAUGCAACUAUGUACCAG
rnacentral:lncRNA from 1 species